GGAAGUUGACGGGACCCGCACAAGCAGCGGAGCGUGUGGUUUAAUUCGAUGCUACACGAAGAACCUUACCAGGGUUUGACAUGCAAGUGGUAGGAAUCUGAAAAGGGACCGACCCUUCGGGGAGCUUGCACAGGUGCUGCAUGGCUGUCGUCAGCUCGUGUCGUGAGAUGUUCGGUUAAGUCCGCUAACGAGCGCAACCCUCACUGUGUGUUAUAUGUGUCACACGGGACUGCCGGUUUUAAGCCGGAGGAAGGUGGGAUGACGUCAAGUCAGCAUGGCCUUUAUAUCCUGGGCUACACACACGCUACAAUGGUCGGUACAAUAGGUUGCCAAGCCGCGAGGCGGAGCCAAUCCACAAAGCCGGCCUCAGUUCAGAUUGUAGGCUGCAACUCGCCUGCAUGAAGAUGGAGUUGCUAGUAACCGCAGGUCAGCAAUACUGCGGUGAAUACGUUCCCGGGUCUU
rnacentral:rRNA from 1 species